AGGAUGAACGCUGGCGGCGUGCUUAACACAUGCAAGUCGAACGCACCUUCGGGUGAGUGGCGGACGGGUGAGUAACGCGUGGGAAUCUGCCCUCAGGAGGGGGAUAACGGCUGGAAACGGCCGCUAAUACCCCAUAUGCCGAGAGGUGAAACGAAUUUCGCCUGAGGAUGAGCCCGCGUCUGAUUAGCUAGUUGGUGGGGUAAUGGCCCACCAAGGCGACGAUCAGUAGCUGGUCUGAGAGGAUGAUCAGCCACACUGGGACUGAGACACGGCCCAGACUCCUACGGGAGGCAGCAGUGGGGAAUUUUCCGCAAUGGGCGAAAGCCUGACGGAGCAACGCCGCGUGAGGGAUGAAGGCCUCUGGGCUGUAAACCUCUUUUCUCAAGGAAGAAGACAUGACGGUACUUGAGGAAUAAGCCACGGCUAAUUCCGUGCCAGCAGCCGCGGUAAUACGGGAGUGGCAAGCGUUAUCCGGAAUUAUUGGGCGUAAAGCGUCCGCAGGCGGCCCUGUAAGUCUGUCGUUAAAGCGUGGAGCUUAACUCCAUUUAAGCGAUGGAAACUACAGGGCUUGAGUGUGGUAGGGGCAGAGGGAAUUCCCGGUGUAGCGGUGAAAUGCGUAGAUAUCGGGAAGAACACCAGUGGCGAAGGCGCUCUGCUGGGCCAUAACUGACGCUCAUGGACGAAAGCCAGGGGAGCGAAAGGGAUUAGAUACCCCUGUAGUCCUGGCCGUAAACGAUGAACACUAGGUGUCGGGGGAAUCGACCCCCUCGGUGUCGUAGCCAACGCGUUAAGUGUUCCGCCUGGGGAGUACGCACGCAAGUGUGAAACUCAAAGGAAUUGACGGGGGCCCGCACAAGCGGUGGAGUAUGUGGUUUAAUUCGAUGCAACGCGAAGAACCUUACCAGGGUUUGACAUCCUGCGAAUCCCUUGGAAACUAGGGAGUGCCUUCGGGAGCGCAGAGACAGGUGGUGCAUGGCUGUCGUCAGCUCGUGUCGUGAGAUGUUGGGUUAAGUCCCGCAACGAGCGCAACCCACGUCUUUAGUUGCCAGCAUUCAGUUGGGCACUCUAGGGAGACCGCCGGUGAUAAACCGGAGGAAGGUGUGGAUGACGUCAAGUCAUCAUGCCCCUUACAUCCUGGGCUACACACGUACUACAAUGCUACGGACAAAGGGCAGCAAGCUCGCGAGAGUUAGCAAAUCCCAUAAACCGUGGCUCAGUUCAGAUCGUAGGCUGCAACUCGCCUACGUGAAGGAGGAAUCGCUAGUAAUCGCAGGUCAGCAUACUGCGGUGAAUACGUUCCCGGGCCUUGUACACACCGCCCGUCACACCAUGGAAGUUGGCCAUGCCCGAAGUCGUUACUCCAACCCUUG
rnacentral:rRNA from 1 species